rnacentral:rRNA from 1 species
CCCUUAGAUGUUCUGGGCCGCACGCGCGCUACACUGACGAAUUCAACGAGCUUAUAACCUUGGCCGAAAGGUCUAGGUAAUCUCUAAAAUUCGUCGUGAUGGGGAUAGAUUAUUGCAAUUAUUAAUCUUCAACGAGGAAUGCCUAGUAAGCGCAAGUCAUCAGCUUGCGUUGAUUACGUCCCUGCCCUUUGUACACACCGCCCGUCGCUCCUACCGAUUGAAUGGUCCGGUGAAGCGUUUGGACUAUGGUUUUCUGACGGUUCGCCAUUGGAUUACCGUGGGAAAUUCGUUAAACCUUAUCAUUUAGAGGAAGGAGAAGUCGUAACA